rnacentral:lncRNA from 1 species
UUACAAUUCACUGGAGCCUCCAAAUUCUGUUGUAUCUGCACUGAAUCCUACAAAAAAAGAAAAAGAAAAGAAAAAAACAAACAAAAACACCCCCAAAACAUCACAUUCUUAGCUCUCCUCCCAAUUGAAAUUCAGCAGUGAGGCCAGUUCCUGAGUCAUGUUCGCAAAAAGCUGUCCUUGGAUUCUGUUAUUGAGCUCACACCCCCAUUCUUGACUUCCCAAGUGGCACUGAGAAAGAGGAGGAAGAAAUGUAAGAAAGUAUAAGAUGGGAUCCUCUGACACCAUGGUGGAAAUUAGCACAUUUCCCAGAAGACCAAGAUAAAAAUGCAUGUGAGAAGAACAAGGGAACCAAACAGAUGGGGCAAUAAAAUGGAGGCGGAAUGAGCUCAUCAGGAUUUCCAGCACACGGCUGAAGUCCAUACUGGGCUCGCAGCUGACCUGGGAGCCAGGAGACAUAGUGAAUGAGUGGGUGGUUACUAUGCUGCAGCAUCAGUUACACUAAAGAGAUUAGGUGGAGCUGAUUCACUGCUGCAGAUCUGCACGACUUUUCAAGUGGAGGAAAAUCUGUGGGCCCUGGUCUCUGCCACUCAUAGAACAGUCCUUAUGGAUAGUGUGAGUCAGAUAUAUAGGAUCCUUCAGGUAGGCAAUCUUGUGCUGUGAGUAAACCGAGGGCAAGCUUUCCUGUCUCAGUAGCAGGUCUCAACCACAGCUACCGGGCAUAUUUGUGUGAAGGUUUACCUUCACAAACACCCUACCUUCCCUAACUCAUCCUUGGCUACAGGUGGUUCAUUAACACAAAGGACAAGGCUCCAGAAUAUUCGUCACAUGGAACAGUGAUUUUUUUUUUCAAGCUAUCAGCUCUUGAGCAUAGCCAGAAGGGGUCUUUGGAGAGUCUAGUCUAUGCUCCUUAUGUCAUACACAGAAAACUGAGGUCCAAGGAAGAGAAAUGACUUGCCCCAAAUCACCCGGCUAGUGACAGAGUUGGCAUUAAGACUCAGUCCCUCUGUUUCUAAGCCAACAGACUUUUCCCCUGUGCUAGGAAAACAAAAUCAAACCCUAAAUAGCAUAUAAUACCCUUGUGAACUAAGCCCUCUAAUUAUACUGCCUCCAAAGGAAAUAACAUCUUUUAAAAUGCCUCGGUCUCUCCAUCUUAGGCAAUUUCACUGAUCAUUUCUCAUAUCAGAAUCUCUUUUGAGCAAUUUAAGAGUAAUUAUUUUGGGAUAUCUGCUUUGUUAUUUUUAUAUCUUCUUAUAUGCUGCUUUCUUUGUUCAGGAGAAAAUUAGAAUUCUGGAAAUACACUUGACUAUUUAUUAAAGGAAGGAGCAUCUAUUUCAAGUGGUUGCAAGUAUCAAUGUAUCAGUCUGCGUCAAGAAUGGAUAUUUGGAAGAACGUAGGCUAUGCUACUCUGUUUCCAGUUAAGAGCCACCUAGGUCAAAAAAAAAAAAAAAAAAAA